AUGUACACACAGAAUAAGAAGAUGAAUCCCGGGAAAAGCAGCGCCCAGCAGCUAAAACAGCUCAAGGAGGACUUGAUCAAUUUUCAGGCAGAAACAGAUCGAGUUACACAGAAUAUAGUAGUUGACUAUGUAAACACUACUCCUGAGACCGCCAAGUUGGUGAAGAUCAAGGACAUACUUCUAACGCAGAAGUAUCUUAAAUGCCUGACAACACCAGAUCAUUCCUCCUUUGCAGCUUGGGUGGAUGACGAUGUACUCGAUGCGGCGUUUGAACUCCUACGCCUGGACGGACUAGAAGGUGUACGAGACCAUGGUACCGUGUAUGUCGAAAGGUCGACCAUUGUCAACAUCCUAAAGAGAGAUGGCACAGUCCCGAAUUGUACCUUGGAUGUUUUAAGCGGCAAAUCAGGCACUAAAUCGGGAGAUAACUACCUGAAACAUGACAUGAUUUUCCUACCUUCAAAUAUUCCCAACCACCACUGGUUCCUGGCUGUUGUCAACUCCCAAAAGAGGGAGAUUCAAAUUCUGGACUCACUCCAAUCACGCAACAACCGCAAAGAAGUAAUUGCUGCGCUUCUUGGAAUGGAAACACAUAUUGAUAUAGCAGUGAUGGAAAAUAGAAUGCCAGGAAGUAGAUGGCCGGACACUCAAGUGGCUUCGUGGCCUAUCACAGACUAUGAAGUGCCACAGCAAAAAGAUGGGUGUUGA
rnacentral:rRNA from 1 species